rnacentral:rRNA from 1 species
UACAGAGGGUGCGAGCGUUGUUCGGAAUUACUGGGCGUAAAGCGCGCGCAGGCGGCCCUUUAAGUCCGUCGGUCAAAUGCCGGGGCUCAACCCCGAGCGUGCCGAGGAUACUGGAGGGCUGGAGACACGUAGAGGCAAGCGGAAUUCCGGGGUGUAGCGGUGGAAUGCGUAGAGAUCCGGAAGAACACCGGAGGCGAAGGCGGCUUGCUGGGCGUGAUCUGACGCUGAGGCGCGAAAGCGUGGGGAGCGAACAGG